rnacentral:rRNA from 1 species
GUCUAUGGCCACGACACCCUGAAUGUGCCGGAUCUCGUAUGAUCUCGGAAACUAAGCAGGGUCGGGCCUGGUAAGUACUUGGAUGGAAGACCACCUAGGAAGACCAGGUGCUGUAGGUG